UACGGUAGGGUGCGAGCGUUUGUCCGGAAUUACUGGGCGUAAAGAGCUCGUAGGCGGUUUGUCGCGUCGUCCGUGAAAACUUGGGGCUCAACCCCAAGCUUGCGGGCGAUACGGGCAGACUUGAGUACUGCAGGGGAGACUGGAAUUCCUGGUGUAGCGGUGAAAUGCGCAGAUAUCAGGAGGAACACCGGUGGCGAAGGCGGGUCUCUGGGCAGUAACUGACGCUGAGGAGCGAAAGCGUGGGGAGCAAACAGG
rnacentral:rRNA from 1 species